rnacentral:rRNA from 1 species
UAGGGAAUCUUCGGCAAUGGACGGAAGUCUGACCGAGCAACGCCGCGUGAGUGAAGAAGGUUUUCGGAUCGUAAAGCUCUGUUGUAAGAGAAGAACGAGUGUGAGAGUGGAAAGUUCACACUGUGACGGUAUCUUACCAGAAAGGGACGGCUAACUACGUGCCAGCAGCCGCGGUAAUACGUAGGUCCCGAGCGUUGUCCGGAUUUAUUGGGCGUAAAGCGAGCGCAGGCGGUUAGAUAAGUCUGAAGUUGAAGGCUGUGGCUUAACCAUAGUACGCUUUGGAAACUGUUUAACUUGAGUGCAAGAGGGGAGAGUGGAAUUCCAUGUGUAGCGGUGAAAUGCGUAGAUAUAUGGAGGAACACCGGUGGCGAAAGCGGCUCUCUGGCUUGUAACUGACGCUGAGGCUCGAAAGCGUGGGGAGCAAACAGGAUUAGAUACCCUGGUAGUCCGCGCCGUANCGAUGAGUGCUAGGUGUUAGACCCUUUCCGNNUUUAGUGCCGCAGCUAACGCAUUAAGCACUCCGCCUGGGGAGUACGACCGCAAGGUUG